rnacentral:rRNA from 1 species
GACGAACGCUGGCGGCGUGCCUAAUACAUGCAAGUAGGACGCAGUUGCGAACGUGUGAUUAACGCGUAGGUAACUACCUAUUAGAGGGGGAUAACAAUUGGAAACGAUAGCUAAUACCGCAUACUAGUAGAUGGACCUGCGUUGUAUUAGCUAGUAGGUAGGGUAAUGGCCUACCUAGGCAACGUUGCAUAGUCGACCUGAGAGGGUGAUCCGCCACACUGGGACUGGGAAACGGCCCAGGCUCCUUCGGGAGGCAGCAGUAGGGAAACUUCGGCAAUGGGGGGAACCCUGACCGAGCAACGGCGCGUGAGUGAAGAAGGUUUUCAGAUCGUAAAGCUCUGUUGUUAAGGGAGCGGUACUUAACCAGAAAGGGACGGCUAACUACGUGCCAGCAGCCGCGGUAAUAC